AUUGAACGCUGGCGGCAUGCCUUACACAUGCAAGUCGAACGAGAUCUUCGGGUCUAGUGGCGCACGGGUGCGUAACGCGUGGGAAUCUGCCCUUUGGUUCGGAAUAACAGUUGGAAACGACUGCUAAUACCGGAUGAUGACGAAAGUCCAAAGAUUUAUCGCCAGAGGAUGAGCCCGCGUAGGAUUAGCUAGUUGGUGUGGUAAAGGCGCACCAAGGCGACGAUCCUUAGCUGGUCUGAGAGGAUGAUCAGCCACACUGGGACUGAGACACGGCCCAGACUCCUACGGGAGGCAGCAGUGGGGAAUAUUGGACAAUGGGCGAAAGCCUGAUCCAGCAAUGCCGCGUGAGUGAUGAAGGCCUUAGGGUUGUAAAGCUCUUUUACCCGGGAUGAUAAUGACAGUACCGGGAGAAUAAGCUCCGGCUAACUCCGUGCCAGCCGCCGCCGUAA
rnacentral:rRNA from 1 species